rnacentral:ncRNA from 1 species
UCUUAUCCAGAGCGGUGGAGGGACAGGCCCUAUGAAACCCGGCAACCAUUAAGGCGAAUUCUUGCCUUGAACGGUGCUAAUUCCUGCAAAGGCAGCAGCCUUUGAAAGAUGAGA